ACUUAUCUGACCAAUUUGAUAGAUUUUAUUUUGAUUAGAUCACUGAUUGAUUCGAAUUGAUCCAUGCCAUUAAGAUAAAUCAAUUUGACUGAUUUAGGUGUCACUAGAUCAGCUUGUUUCUAGUCUUUUUCAUGACUUGGUGAAGUCAGUGGAAGGAUUUAUGACUUAUUGAUCAAUUUUUUCUCUUAUUUUUAAAUCAUUAAAUCAAAAUUUUUAAAUUAUUAGAUCCU
rnacentral:lncRNA from 1 species